rnacentral:SRP_RNA from 1 species
UUGCCAUCACAACGGUAACCUUGUAACCCGGUCAGGCCAGGAAUGGAGCAGCCGAAUCGAGAAGUGCUGUGUGUGGUGGUUUUUU